AGCAAUACCAACUACCUCCACCACCACCCCCACUACAGCUGCAGCAGCACCACCCUGGCGCACCACCGUCACAGCUACAAUACUCUCAGCAGCCACCACCUCCUCAGCCGCAGUACUCUCAGCCGCCACCACCACCUUCUCAACCGCACCCCUCGUUCCCACCUGCUAACCCCUCUCUACCUCAACAACCAAUCGGUAAUCAUCUUCCAGAAGAAUCAAUGUAUGCACCCCC
rnacentral:lncRNA from 1 species